UACGGAGGUGGCAAGCGUUACUCGGAUUGAUUGGGUGUAAAGGGUAUGUAGGUGGUGAAUUAAGUCGAAUGUGAAAUCCCUUGGCUUAACCAAGGAACUGCAUUCGAAACUGAUUCGCUUGAGCGACGGAGAGGAAAGCGGAAUUCCCGGUGUAGCAGUGAAAUGUGUAGAUAUCUGGAGGAACACCAGUGGCGAAGGCGGCUUUCUGGAC
rnacentral:rRNA from 1 species